CCCUACGGGGCGCAGCAGUAGGGAAUCUUCCACAAUGGACGAAAGUCUGAUGGAGCAACGCCGCGUGAGUGAAGAAGGGUUUCGGCUCGUAAAGCUCUGUUGGUAGUGAAGAAAGAUAGAGGUAGUAACUGGCCUUUAUUUGACGGUAAUUACUUAGAAAGUCACGGCUAACUACGUGCCAGCAGCCGCGGUAAUACGUAGGUGGCAAGCGUUGUCCGGAUUUAUUGGGCGUAAAGCGAGUGCAGGCGGUUCCAAUAAUCUUAUUGUAAAACCCUCCG
rnacentral:rRNA from 1 species